ACCAUGGCUGGUUGUGAUUCUAUAAUAUACUCAAAAAAGGGUAUUAAUUAGUGGGACAGAAAUAAGCUUGAAAUCUAUCUAAAACAGAGAAGAAGAAAAAGAAUAUUUCUUUAUGUGAUCCAAUACAUAUUUUACUAGUGUAAAGUUUCAAGUGAAAAUGAUAAAUUCCUAUUGGGGAAAGGUUCAUUAAUCUUUUCAUUUAUUAAGUUGUUUUCAAGAGAACUUCUUAGCAUACAUUUGCCAACAGAACAACAAAAAUCGACACAAAAGAGAAGCUGCUGACAAAAAACAAGCGGGUAUUUAGUACCUUGUAGGUAAGCAAGGAUUGGAG
rnacentral:misc_RNA from 1 species